CGGGGCUUAAAGUCUUGUAAUUGGAAUGAUGGGAAUUUAAACGUCUUCCAGAGUAUCAAUUGGAGGGCAAGUCUGGUGCCAGCAGCCGCGGUAAUUCCAGCUCCAAUAGCGUAUAUUAAAAUUGUUGCAGUUAAAAAGCUCGUAGUUGAAUUUCUGCUGCAUUGUCGAGUCCCUCCGGGGUCUUGGCACGUGGCUUUUUUCGGACGGUUCGCUGUCUGGAUGUUUACUUUGAGAAAAUUAGAGUGCUCAAAGCAGGCUUUUGCCUUGAAUAGUUUAGCAUGGAAUAAUAAAGUAGGACUUUGGUUCUAUUUUGUUGGUUUUAGGUACCAAAGUAAUGGUUAAUAGGAACAGUUGGGGGCAUUCGUAUUUAACUGUCAGAGGUGAAAUUCUUAGAUUUGUUAAAGACGAACUACUGCGAAAGCAUUUGCCAAGGAUGUUUUCAUUAAUCAAGAAC
rnacentral:rRNA from 1 species